UCUGGCCCUUUGAAGAUCCAGACAUUAAAGGGGUUGUCCGGGAUCAAAUUAUUAUAUAUUUUUUAAAGUGUACUUACUAUUAACAGCUGAAUCAAGGUCCCCCCAUAUGUUUUUAGGUAUUUUCACCAUUUCUACAUGGCUCC